AAAAUUAUCUCGUUCCCACUUAAUAUACUGUAGUCCUUGAUCAAACAUCAGAUAUUUGCAGAUCUGACUACGUUUUCCAGGACUAUAUUAAAUAAAAAUGGUAAUAAAAAGUAACCCUAUCUAUUUCCUGUUCAAAAGAGGAAUGUAUUCAAUUUGUUUCCAUUGAGUGAGAAGUUGGCCACUUCAAAUAUAUGAUCUUUAUUA